UUUUCUUUUAGCUAAGAAGCCCGUAGGUUGUACGUCAGCCAUACAUAGCUUGAACUUUGAUGGCCACAAUGCUUAGCUAUUGCCGACCCCCAAAACUAGACAGAGUAGGGAGUCCAGAAUCCGGUAAGUCACUUCCCUGUCUUGAGUUGGAUCCCCCUGUAACAAACAAACAGGACUUUAUGACACCAAGACAUAAACGACUAGUGCUGCCCUUCUCCUGUCCCUGGACCAGAUGCCCGACUGGCUUUGACUCAAGUUUCACCGUUGACUUACUGCACUACCCAAACCGUUCUUCUCUUCCUUUGUUUUCUUUUAUUUGUUGAGAGGCUCGCUUUCCGGUAUAGAUAAGGCUUAAGAGAAAGACCUGUUAGGUAUAACUAAUAGUCUUAGAGAUUGUGUUUAUCGAAUAGAAUGGGAAAAUGGGACUUUCAAGGACCUUUCUCAAACCUGUCUUCUCUACUGGCUGUAAUGCUAUUAAACUUGCCCUCGCUCCUUACGUCACACUUUACUGGCUACCGUAAGAGCACAGAAAGACUUAUUCGCCUUAAAGGCUAGGCCUACCUUCUAUACUAUAGGCUUAAGGCAAGGUAUGAGUUUCUCUACGGCUUUGACUAGUCUACCCAAAAGAAGAACUAUAAAUCCAAAAGCAUUGCUCGCCGAACUUCAAAUCUUUAUUUUUUAAAACGAGUGAAAGAGAGUCUCAGACGUAAAGAAGACUGAAAUAAAAGGUGCCUAAAAGCCUCUCGCGAUCUACCGCUUCUUAGCCUAUCUCGGUAAUGGCCCUACCCCCUUUCUCUUCCUUGGGCUUUGGUCUCCUUUGGCUUCAGGCUUCUGUUCAUGCUUAUCCUCAGCCUCCAGUAGGCUGAUGGGCAUUGAACCCGACUCUGUAGACCUUUGGUCUUCUACGACCUCUCCUAUAGAAAUUUUUAACACGACUUUAUGAGGGGCUAGCUUUCCUGCUUCUGUGCUUGCUAUUAAGAAUAUGGCAUACCAACGAUUAACUUACUUACUGGAAUGAUGGAAAGGAAAUGGGAUCGACAAAAGAGAGAUCCAUUUUCUAGGAAAAAAGCAAGGUGGGAUUUUCUCCUGCCUGCCUUCCCCCGGAAGUAACUUCGCUACCUUUGUGGAUCCAACAUGUUUUAUACCCAAACCUGAUCCAUAAGAAGUGAUUAAUCAGGCUAUUGCUUCUGUCUUCAAAGCUACGCUCCUACUUCACUCGAGCAGCAAAUUCUCUAACAGUAACA
rnacentral:lncRNA from 1 species